rnacentral:rRNA from 1 species
AGUGAACGCUGGCGGUAGGCCUAACACAUGCAAGUCGAACGGCAGCACAGUAAGAGCUUGCUCUUACGGGUGGCGAGUGGCGGACGGGUGAGGAAUACAUCGGAAUCUACUUUUUCGUGGGGGAUAACGUAGGGAAACUUACGCUAAUACCGCAUACGACCUACGGGUGAAAGCAGGGGAUCUUCGGACCUUGCGCGAUUGAAUGAGCCGAUGUCGGAUUAGCUAGUUGGCGGGGUAAAGGCCCACCAAGGCGACGAUCCGGAGCUGGUCUGAGAGGAUGAUCAGCCACACUGGAACUGAGACACGGUCCAGACUCCUACGGGAGGCAGCAGUGGGGAAUAUUGGACAAUGGGCGCAAGCCUGAUCCAGCCAUACCGCGUGGGUGAAGAAGGCCUUCGGGUUGUAAAGCCCUUUUGUCGGGAAAGAAAAGCAGCAGGUUAAUACCCCGCUGUUCUGACGGUACCCAAAGAAUAAGCACCGGCUAACUUCGUG